UACGGAAGGUCCGGGCGUUAUCCGGAUUUAUUGGGUUUAAAGGGAGCGCAGGCCGGUGCCUAAGCGUGACGUGAAAUGCCGCGGCUCAACCGUGGAAGUGCGUCGCGAACUGGGUGCCUUGAGUGAGUACGACGUUGGCGGAAUUCGUGGUGUAGCGGUGAAAUGCUUAGAUAUCACGAAGAACCCCGAUUGCGAAGGCAGCUGACGAGUCCUCAACUGACGCUAAAGCUCGAAGGUGCGGGUAU
rnacentral:rRNA from 1 species